GUGCAGCAGUCGAGAAACCUCCGCAAUGCGGGAAACCGCGACGGGGGACCCCGAGUGCCGUGGCAACGCCACGGCUUUUCCGGAGUGUAAAAAGCUCCGGGAAUAAGGGCUGGGCAAGGCCGGUGGCAGCCGCCGCGGUAAUACCGGCGGCCCGAGUGGUGGCCGCUAUUAUUGGGCCUAAAGCGUCCGUAGCCGGGCCCGUAAGUCCCUGGCGAAAUCCCACGGCUCAACCGUGGGGCUUGCUGGGGAUACUGCGGGUCUUGGGACCGGGAGAGGCGGGGGGUACCCCUGGGGUAGGGGUGAAAUCCUAUAAUCCCCAGGGGGACCGCCAGUGGCGAAGGCGCCCCGCUGGAACGGGUCCGACGGUGAGGGACGAAGGCCAGGGGA
rnacentral:rRNA from 1 species